AGCAUCGUUCUGUUCAAAAUCAAUGUUGCAGCGCCACCAUCUUUCCUUCUGACUUUCACUUCACCCUUCUUGGGUAAACAUUUUCACCCAAUCUCUUAUUACUUUGUUAUUCUCAACUUUUCAAAUUGCUAUUCAUCCACUUAUUCCAGAUAGCUUUCAAACUUGCAGAUCCUGAAAAAAAAAAAAAAAAAAAAAAAUACCCGAACCUGCUUUCAUUCCCACUAACCUUUCAGGAUUCCAUCCAAUCCUUUCUGGGUUUUUUUUUUUCAAAACCCAUGUGUUCCUAUUAAUGUUUUUUGAUUUUGAGCCAUUUUUCCUUAGAUCUUGGUCUUGAAUUCCCGUUAAGCAAUUGAACUCUGACUAUAAAUUGGGCCUUGGUUUCUGAAUGUUAGGGGAAAAAGUAAGUUAGUUGGCGGUUGUUUUCUUGUCUAUCAAAAAACAUUUGGCCGUUGUUUGUGAGAAUGGGGCAUAGUUCGAAGAAGAAGAAGCGAGGAGGAGGGAGUGGGAGGAGGAGCAAGGGUAGGACCCCAUUGAAAGAUAAUACAUCUCAUCUUGGUGGCGAUGAUAAUGAGCUUCUCUCCGAGGAGAUUACUGCCUUGUGUGCAAUAUUUCAAGAAGACUGCAAAAUUAUUCCUGGAUCACCUCCUCAAAUAAUUAUUAAGCUCAGGUCUUACUCAAAGGAUAUGGGUUAUGAGGAUCUAAAUGUUUCUGCUCUUCUUUUAGUUAGAUGCUUACCUGGGUAUCCUUACAAGUGUCCAAAGUUGCAGAUAACUCCAGAGAAUGGUUUGUCAAAGAGCGACGCUGAUAAGCUUCUAGCUCUCCUCUCUGAUCAGGCAAAUUCUAAUGCUCGAGAAGGACGGGUGAUGAUUUUCAAUUUAGUGGAGGCCGCUCAAGAAUUCCUAUCUGAAAUUGUUCCAGUUGGUCAAUCACAUGUAUCUAAGGGUUCAUGCUCAACCAUGGAUGGCGGUGGCGAAUUCUUUCAGAAGGAAAUCACAGCUUCAAGUAACAAGAGGGGACCUUUUGUUUAUGGUCUUAUGGACCUCUUCAGUGGCUCUGGAGAGUCAUGGAAUUGGGGAUUUGAAAUGGAUGAAAAAAGUGGGGUGAAUUCUUCAGUGCAACCCCAUACAUUAGAAGGCUCAAAACUUGGAUAUGACUAUCAGCAAAAGGGACUUGAUAAGAAUCUAAAGCCAUUGAAAAUACAGGAUACAAAGCAAGGUUUAUUGCCUUUCCCUACUGCCAAGUUGGAUACCCUUGAUGAAGAGACUGAAGAUAGCAAUAAGAGCAUAUCAUCGUCUGAUUCAAGUGGGUCCCCAGAGGAGGAAUUGGCUGGUGAUGCUACUGAUGAUGAGAGAGAUUUUAUGGAAAUGGAGAAGACAACAGAAGAUGAUGGUGAUGGUGAAUUCGGCAGUGAGGCUUCAGGGUCGCUUCCUUCUGCUUCUGUGGGUAAUGACCAAGAAUCUCAAAUGGUUGAACGUGAUCUAAUAAUGGUUCAUCUACUUCGCCUCGCUUGUGCUUCUAGAGGGCCAUUGGAUGAAGCUUUGCCGCAAAUAGCCACAGAGUUGUACAGUCAAGGGAUCAUUUCAGAAUGGGCCCGAGAUUUAGCUUCAAAACCAUCUUCAAUUUUUAACAAAACAUUUGAUCAUGUUUUCCAAAAACAGAUGGUUUCAUCGAGAAUAUCUCAAUUUUGGAAACCCACUACUGAUUUUGAAGAUCCAAGCACAUCCCUCCCAAGCUCUCGCUUUCUCAGUGACUUUGAGGAGCUAAAACCCCUUGGUCAUGGAGGUUUCGGUCAUGUUGUGUUGUGCAAAAAUAAAUUAGAUGGAAGACAGUAUGCAGUGAAGAAAAUUCGCCUCAAGGACAAAAUCCUGCCUGUUAAUGACCGAAUAUUGAGGGAAGUAGCCACUCUUUCCCGUUUGCAGCAUCAACAUGUUGUCCGGUACUAUCAGGCAUGGUUUGAAACAGGAGUUGUUAGUUCUUUUGGUGACACUACUGGGGGUUCAAUGACUGCAGCAAGCUCCAGUUUCAGCUACCUAGGCACAAGCUCAGUUGAUGCCCUUGGGCAUGAGAACAAGCUUGAGUCGACGUAUCUAUAUAUUCAAAUGGAAUAUUGCCCCAGGACGCUCCGUCAGGUUUUUGAAUCAUAUAGUCAUUUUGACAAAGAGUUAGCAUGGCAUUUGUUUCGUCAAAUUGUGGAAGGUUUGGCCCACAUUCAUGGACAAGGAAUCAUCCAUCGUGACUUAACCCCAAAUAACAUAUUCUUUGAUGCCCGGAAUGAUAUCAAAAUUGGAGAUUUUGGCCUUGCCAAGUUCUUGAAGUUGGAGCAGUUGGAUCAGGAUCCAGGUUAUCCUUCAGAUACUGCUGGGGUUUCACUUGAUGGAACUGGUCAAGUUGGUACCUAUUUUUACACUGCACCUGAAAUUGAGCAAGGAUGGCCCAAGAUUGAUGAAAAGGCAGAUAUGUACAGCUUAGGAGUUGUGUUCUUUGAGCUUUGGCACCCAUUUGGGACAGCAAUGGAGAGGCACAUUGUUCUCACUGAUUUGAAACAGAAAGGAGAACUUCCACUAUCUUGGAUUGCUGAGUUUCCUGAACAGGAAUCCUUAUUGCGGCGUUUAAUGUCCCCAAGUCCAUCUGAUCGUCCCUCUGCCACAGAACUUUUACAGGAUGCUUUUCCUCCACGGAUGGAAUCUGAGUUGUUAGAUAAUAUUCUACGAACAAUGCAAACUUCAGAGGACAGAAGUAUGUACGAUAAAGUUGUCAAUGCUAUCUUUGAUGAAGAUAUGUUAAGCAUAAAAGACCUCCAUCGUCAUGCUGGUAGACUGAGGUUGGCUGGAGAUGAGACCUCUAUUCAGUACACAGAUUUAGAUACUGAGGUUCGUGAUUAUGUUGUUGAAGUCACAAGGGAAGUGUUCAGGCGGCAUUGUGCUAAGCAUCUGGAAAUAGUACCCAUGCGUUUGUUGGAUGAUUUUCCACAGUUCAAUAGGAACACUGUCAAACUUUUGACCCAUGGAGGAGAUAAGAUUGAACUUUGUCAUGAGCUGCGUCUUCCCUUUGUUAGUUGGGUGAUCUCCCACCAGAAAUCUUCAUUCAAACGAUAUGAAAUAUCGUGUGUCUAUAGAAGAGCAAUUGGGCAUUCACCACCAAAUCGCUAUCUUCAGGGAGAUUUUGACAUUAUUGGAGGUGCCUCAGCAUUGACGGAGGCAGAGGUUAUCAAGGUGACCAUGGACAUUAUAGCUCAGUUUUUCAAUGCAGAUUCAUGUGACAUUCAUCUAAAUCAUGGGGACCUUCUGGAUGCAAUUUGGUCUUGGAUAGGAGUGAAGGCAGAGCAUAGACAGAAAGUAGCCGAGCUUCUUUUGAUGAUGGGUUCUCUGCGUCCUCAAUCUUCUGAACGGAAAUCAAAAUGGGUUGUCAUAAGGCGUCAGCUUUUGCAGGAGCUCAAUCUGGCAGAGGCUGUCGUAAAUAGGCUGCAAACUGUUAGUUUAAGGUUCUGCGGAGCUGCUGAUCAGGCACUUCCGAGAUUGAGGGGAGCGUUGCCAGCUGAUAAACCUACACGCAAGGCACUUGAUGAAUUGUCAGACCUCUGUAGCUACUUGAGAAUUUGGAGGAUUGAGAAACAUGUUUAUAUAGAUGCAUUAAUGCCCCCAACUGAGAGUUACCAUAGAGAUUUGUUCUUUCAGGUAUAUUUAAUAAAGGAGAACAAUCCUGGAUCACUUAUUGAAGGUGCAUUGCUUGCUGCUGGUGGCCGCUAUAACUAUCUGCUUCACCAACUGUGGGGUCAUGAAUAUAAUUGAAUCUAGCACCAUAAUUCUUGUUUGUUCACGAGGAGGAGGUGGUCUGUUGGUAGAGCGCAUGGAACUUGUUGCUGAAUUGUGGGAGGAGAACAUCAAGGUUUGAACAUUAACUUUAAGAAAAUAUAUCAAAGGAAAACUAGGGUUUUCUUUUAAGCAAAGUAAGUACGAUGCUUCCUUAUUUUUGCACAAGGGCGAUGCUGGAGUAGUAUUUUUAUUGUUAUAUGUAGAUGAUAUUAUCAUCUCUGGUUCAGAUGGACUCAGUCAGGUUGGUUUAGAUAAAGAUAAAGAUGUAGUUUGUUGAGAUUCAAAUUGAAUUCUCAAUCUUAUCUUUGUAAUUAUUUCUGGAACUAUUUUUUAUAAUGAGAAGGAAGCACCUCAAAGAGGUCUUCGGCCCAAUCUGACAAAGUAGUCUCCUUUAAGUUGCUUAACUGUUGCUUUCGGCUUUCUGGCCCUGUGUCAAUCAGGCUGAGUUUGUACCUGCACCUGAUCCGAGUCUUACAGAGCAGUAUGAAUAUGCAAACGAGCAUGAUAUAAAAUGUCUUGUCAUCCUAACAGACACAGAUGUAUCUCAAACGGGUUCUGUCAAGGUUCGUCAUCUUGAACUCAAAAAGGAGAAGAAGGUUGAAAGAGAAAUCCUAGUCAGAUUUCUAUUGGCCGCGAU